CCUGCCAUAGACUGUUUGUCCUCUUCAAUGCCCUCUGCCAUGCCCCCUGCCUUGGAGCCAGCCAACUGUGGACUGAAACCUUCACAAACUGUAAGCCAGAAUACACCUUCCCUCCUUCAGCUUGUGAGAGUUGGGUAUUGAGUCUCAGUAAUGAGAAAAAAUGCUUCCUAGGAAUGAGGAUGUCCUGAAGCAGUACAGAACUCUAGUGCUGCGUGGCUCGGUGCCAUGCAUGAGGAUUGCCUGUUGCAUUAAACUAAUGAGCUGUCUCAGUUGGAGAACUGUGCCAAGGAGACCAAAGUACAAGGGCCAAAGGCCAAAUUCCAGGACUUUAGUGAAGAUUUAUUCUGCUGAAGAUGGAAAAAUAAAAAGUCUACCAUAGAAGAAACCUUAUAAAAGUGAAGCCCUGGUUGUGGAAUCCAUUCUUUCUGUGUGAUAUGGAAAGAGCAGAAGAGGACAGCGAAGGGAGGAUUGACUGUGUGGUGGUUCCAGCCCAGUGAAGGUCUGACUGUGUGUGGUCUCCGCUCUGUGGAAGGGCAAGGGAAGGAGGAUGGCUGAUAAGGAGCUAGAGAAGAAAGAACAGCCCACUCCUGCCCAGACCCUGGGAGAAGGCCCGAGCCCGGGAAGGAGCAGCUGCAGCAACUUGGAGCCAGCCCAGCGACCGAAGGCCGGGAAUCCGAAUCCACGUUUACUCAGUCACCAGGGGCCCAACAUCUUGGGGACAGCUAUGUCUUUUGGCAGAUUUACUUUUCUUGGGCCUCAGUUUGUCUGUACAAUGAGGAUACUAAUGAUGAGCAUGAAGUUUAAAGUGUUUAUACACGGGCUGUUGUAAAUACUAUACAAAUGUGGGUUACAGAAAGCUUUCUUGGGUGUACUGGUGAGUGAGCCCGGGGCCGACACACUGAGCUGCAUCUCUGCCCUGCCUCUUUUUUACUGUUUUAUUUUGAGACAGGACCUCACUAAAUUGCUAAGUUGCCCAGGCCAAACUCAAACGCUUGAUCUCCUACCUCAGCUUCCCGGAGUGUGAGAAUUAGAGAAUUAUGCUACUAGGCCUGGCUAUAUAAUACUAAAAUUACUGCUAUUAAAAUGAAAUUACUGGGCCAGGGAUA